CAGUCGUACCGGCGGGUAAUCAGCCUUUUGGGUGUGAUUAUGUGGAGCGUGAGGAGUUAAUCACCCUCAUCUUUGCAUAUUCGUGCACUUUGGGUGUACUUGCUCGUGUGGUAGGUUAACAUCAAUUUUGAUCGUCAUAAAAUGAUUGGAGGAAUGUAGCUUCGAUCUCGUAUUGAAGUGUUAUAGCCUUCGGUAGAUGUGAUGAUUGGGAUUGAGGAUUGCAACGGAUACCCUUCGGGGCUACCUGUCUGAUCUCUGAAAGUUGCUCUGGUGCUGAAAGCUUGCUUAUGGUAUCAAAGUUGACGUUCAACAGGUUAGAACGGGAUAAA
rnacentral:rRNA from 1 species